rnacentral:rRNA from 1 species
UACGUAGGUGGCUAGCGUUGUCCGGAUUUACUGGGCGUAAAGAGCGCGCAGGCGGUCGUUCAAGUCGAGUGUGAAAGCCCCCGGCUCAACUGGGGAGGGUCACUCGAUACUGCUCUGCUUGAGGACUGGAGAGGAGACUGGAAUUCACGGUGUAGCAGUGAAAUGCGUAGAUAUGGGGAGGAACACCGGUGGCGAAGGCGGCCAUCUGGACGGAUACUGACGCUGAGACGCGAAAGCGUGGGGAGCAAACAGG